CUAUUUUGGUUUGAAAUGUUUGUGAAUUUCCCAUGCAUGUGUCCAGAUGCAUAGGGAGUUUAUUCAUUCAAUUAAGUUAAAACAUUAGAUAACAUGGUAAAUUCAAAAAGUAGCAAAGACACAUUUUGUUUCUGUCUCUUUAACUGAGAAAACUGGUUGAUGCCUCCUGUGUGUGAGCACCAUGUAGCUGAUGCAGAUACAGAAACUGAGGUUUUCUUACUUGCUGCCACUGGCCCCGGCACUGGAGGUUGGCUCUGGGAGGGCAGGGUGUCUGUUUUUCUUACCACUCAGCAAGUGCCACACAAAUAUAAAUGGGUGUCUCUGCCCUCUAGUGGAUUCUGGCAGGCACUGGGAGCAAAUGUGACUAUAAAAAAAGUGAAAGAUGUAAAAAAUACACAUUAUCUCCAGAGGGGAUUUAAUUCUAACGGAGGGCUUUUUUUUUUCUUUUUCAAAUGGGCUGAUGGGUAAAAAUGCAAGACUGGAUAUGUUGGAAAAAAGCACAUUGCAUUUGCCUUUUGGCAUCUGUGAUGACUGAGUCCUUCCUCAGCGCUGCCACAGGGAGCACAUUCACACGUGUGUCACACAAAUACCAAGGUUAGGUCAAAAAACCAAGUGUUACCUGGAGGAAGCCACAAAGACUAUGAGACCAAGACCUCACCUAGAAGACACUUGAUAGUUCAGAAGCCGAGAUCCUGCGAGGUGUCUCAGAGAGCUCAGCUGUGACCCCGCACUGUAUGGAAGGGCGGGCAGUGGGGCCCAGGCAGGGGAAGAGAAUUGUCCACUGUUGAGCAUCAUCAUUCUAAAACCCACAUGUAAUGCUAUUGCUGCAAAACCGCUGACUGUUGAAGCCACAAACCACAGAAACAGACUCCCUUUAUGGUCCUCACUGUGCAACCGGUGGCUUUUCAGAAGAUGAAGAUUCAACAUAUUAAUCAUAAAUUCAAAGCAUCAGAAGAAAUACUAGGAUAUUUUCUAACCUCUGCUACCAUGACUUUUUUUUUUUUUUUUUGGCGAGAUUCGUGAAUUAUUGUAAAUAAGUUCACAGAGGCCAAAGUGCUCCCCUGAAGUCAUCCAGGAAGAGGCAGGCUGCUAAUCCCCACAUCUGAGACAUCUGUGUUUUCUUAGGAUAAUAAGGGAAAGAGAGAGGGACAGAAAUAGACAGACAGAGAAUUGGAGCUAAGAGGAAACAUUUUCAGAUUUUGCCCCCCAAAAUUCCCAGUGAACAUUCCCAUUGCCAGCGGGGGAGUUCCAAGGCCCUGGCUCCAGGAUCCUGCUCUUUCCUUUGGUGACUCCUGUACAGAUUUGGCAUAGAAACAAUAUGGAACUUGUUACACUUCUCUGGACAAGUCAUUAUGCUUUUGGCUCACAGGCUCCACUUCUCUGGACACCCCUUCACCCUAAGCUUCAAGUAAUUCAGCUUCACCCUUCAGAGAAGAGCUCAGCUGUCACUUCCUCUAAGGACCCUCCCCAGCCGCCUCUCCAGCAGAAGGGCCUCCACCUUGCUUUUUGCACAUCUGUCCCUCGAGGUGCUGCUGUUCUCUGUGGAGCUGAAAAAAGGUGGUGAUGCCCUGAAAUUCAGCAAACUGCAGGGACACGUGUUGUUCUACCCCAGGUCAGAGUGUGUCGGUCAUCACUUGAUGCCACUCACAGACCACCAACUUCAGAAUAUCUAGGUGUAAAGCUCUGUACAAAAGUUGUAACAUAAUAAUGUAAAUAAUUUUACAUUAUUAUUAAUAAAUUAUAUUACACUAUUACAUAAUGUAAAGGCUA
rnacentral:lncRNA from 1 species